GCUGGUGGCGCUCGCUGGCAGGCGGGGCGGCGGAGGAAGCAGCCGGGCCCGGCGAGGCGGAGACCGCCCCAGAGCGCCCCCUAAUGAGCAAGGCGCCGCUGCCGCCGCACGCUGGCCCGCUCGUCCGCUCGUUUGCUCGUCCGCGGGCCGCUAGGCCGGGACCUCGAGAGCCGGAGGCCGGGGAGCGAGCGGAGGCCACGCCGCCCUCACGCCGCGAGAGCCCCUCGGCGGCCCGCCUGGCCGCCUGUCACAGUCAGACUCCCUGCUGCCCGGCCCGGAAGCUCCCCUUGAAGCUGCCCUUUCACCGCGCCCCCGACCCGCACUCGCUCCCGAGGCUUUCCUUCUGAUCCUCCCGGGGUGCUAAGGUCUAGAGUUUUCAAUCUGUUCCUUUAAGGCUGGAAGUCUUGUUUUCGGAAAGCACUGCAUCCGUAAUGGCAAUUCCACCCCUCACCCGCUCAAAGGAAUCUAGUGGGAAUCCAGUGAUCCACACAGACAGGCUGAAAUUUGGUCAAGGAGGGAAAAGCACUUAGCCAAGUCCCUGGCAUUGAAGAAGUGCUCAAAAAACCGGCUGCAGGAGCCCCUGGCCAGCCCUGGCCACCACGGAGGCAUGGUGACCGCGUUCUGGUUGAAACACAGAGAGAGUCUAAUGUCCUCAGCAUUUUCACAGGACCUGUCUAAAUUUUAGUUUUAAAACCCUAAUUUAUAAAAUCUUAUGUUCCUUAAUAAAGUUUGUAAAUCUGAGGACAGCUUUUACCUGUCCUUUGGGAACUGCCGUAUUUGAAUGGGUGCCAUCUCUUCUGCCUACUUUGAAACUGCAUCACUGCUUUCCCACAUGCUGAGCGAACACCGAUGACACCUGGAGAGAGAAAACCUUCCCGGCAGAUGUACACUUGGUUCCCGCAUGGUAGGACAUCUGGCCCAGCACCAGGCACACCAGCCCUUGAUGAGGUGGAAUUAGUACCUGCCAGCCACGCCCAGACGUCAGACAGGAGCUCAAGCCCUGAGUCUCAAGCCUUGCAAGGCAAAAGCAUCCCUCAUCGCUUUGUCUACCGAAGCCACCCCCAGAUUCUUGGGCCUUCUUUCAAAACAUUUUAACACUGAAUCCUGUGAGCUUAAGAACUUGGACUUUAAGAAGUAUCAUAGUUCCUGCUGCCCUGCCAUGAGCUGUUUCUCCUGUCUGGUGCUGCCCUGCCUUGGAGCCUGCUGACUGUAGACUGAAACCUCUACAAAGUCAAGACAACAGAGCUCUUCUGCACACAGACAGUCUUGCUGGAUGGUAACAGAACGCUCUAAAAUAGAGCAUAAACUAACGUGAAGAUCUAAAUUAUUUGAAAUCAGCGACUGGCAACCAAGCAGCUCAAGAACCCCAAGCAGAGGUGCAGGAUCGUGGACCAGCUCCCACUUUAAGUGCCAUGAAUUAGACAAAAGUAUAGGUACAUGAGGAAUGCUAAUAUGCUGCAUCUUCAAGGGUGGGAUUUUUCAAGUUGAGCUCAAUUAGACUUAAAUUAAUACAUAGUUUAGACCCA